rnacentral:rRNA from 1 species
GAUGAACGCUUGCGGCGUGCUUAACACAUGCAAGUCGAACGAUGAAGCCCAGCUUGCUGGGUGGAUUAGUGGCGAACGGGUGAGUAACACGUGAGUAACCUGCCCUUAACUCUGGGAUAAGCCUGGGAAACUGGGUCUAAUACCGGAUAGGAGCGCCUACCGCAUGGUGGGUGUUGGAAAGAUUUAUCGGUUUUGGAUGGACUCGCGGCCUAUCAGCUUGUUGGUGAGGUAAUGGCUCACCAAGGCGACGACGGGUAGCCGGCCUGAGAGGGUGACCGGCCACACUGGGACUGAGACACGGCCCAGACUCCUACGGGAGGCAGCAGUGGGGAAUAUUGCACAAUGGGCGCAAGCCUGAUGCAGCGACGCCGCGUGAGGGAUGACGGCCUUCGGGUUGUAAACCUCUUUCAGUAGGGAAGAAGCGAAAGUGACGGUACCUGCAGAAGAAGCACCGGCUAACUACGUGCCAGCAGCCGCGGUAAUACGUAGGGUGCGAGCGUUAUCCGGAAUUAUUGGGCGUAAAGAGCUCGUAGGCGGUUUGUCGCGUCUGUCGUGAAAGUCCGGGGCUUAACCCCGGAUCUGCGGUGGGUACGGGCAGACUAGAGUGCAGUAGGGGAGACUGGAAUUCCUGGUGUAGCGGUGGAAUGCGCAGAUAUCAGGAGGAACACCGAUGGCGAAGGCAGGUCUCUGGGCUGUAACUGACGCUGAGGAGCGAAAGCAUGGGGAGCGAACAGGAUUAGAUACCCUGGUAGUCCAUGCCGUAAACGUUGGGCACUAGGUGUGGGGACCAUUCCACGGUUUCCGCGCCGCAGCUAACGCAUUAAGUGCCCCGCCUGGGAGUACGGCCGCAAGGCUAAAACUCAAAGGAAUUGACGGGGGCCCGCACAAGCGGCGGAGCAUGCGGAUUAAUUCGAUGCAACGCGAAGAACCUUACCAAGGCUUGACAUGUUCUCGAUCGCCGUAGAGAUACGGUUUCCCCUUUGGGGCGGGUUCACAGGUGGUGCAUGGUUGUCGUCAGCUCGUGUCGUGAGAUGUUGGGUUAAGUCCCGCAACGAGCGCAACCCUCGUUCCAUGUUGCCAGCACGUAAUGGUGGGGACUCAUGGGAGACUGCCGGGGUCAACUCGGAGGAAGGUGAGGACGACGUCAAAUCAUCAUGCCCCUUAUGUCUUGGGCUUCACGCAUGCUACAAUGGCCGGUACAAUGGGUUGCGAUACUGUGAGGUGGAGCUAAUCCCAAAAAGCCGGUCUCAGUUCGGAUUGGGGUCUGCAACUCGACCCCAUGAAGUCGGAGUCGCUAGUAAUCGCAGAUCAGCAACGCUGCGGUGAAUACGUUCCCGGGCCU